CUCACUUCCUUGCUUUUGGCCAUUUCUGGUGGGCUUGAUCACUGAUGCAUUUGCAGGUUCUCAUCAAGAUUAAUCUCUGAUGGUUGUCCCAAGGGACAUCACUAGAUUUAUCUCAAUUUUUGCCUCUGCUCGGAGGCUGUCCUCUAUGCUUGCACAUGAUCGCCUCCACUGUGUCCCUGGUAUAACACUGCCUCCAGGUGACGCGAAUGCUCU
rnacentral:snRNA from 1 species